rnacentral:lncRNA from 1 species
UUUUGAAUCUGUGCAGUUUUUACUCCUCCGGCUAGAACGAUUUCCUUUCUAAAAAAAAAAAAAGGAAAAAUUCUUUAAUUCCAUCCAUUUAUGUCGAAUGUUUCUGCUAUUUAUUGGGUGUGAAAGGAUGCUUCUGAACGUUAUUAGAUUGUCAAAGUGUGUUUUUUUCCCCCGCUUAAGACAGGUCACGAAUUUGUUUCCUACUGCCAUGCCCCAUUUCUAUCCUUUUUUAAAGAUAUUAUUAUCCAGUAAAAUUACUAGGCAUCGACGUUUUCGCUUAUUCGUGUAUAGGAGCAUGCGUCGAUUAUAAUCCGUAGUGGAUGAUGUCCAACUUCGAUCGACUGGCCAUCAUGCAUUGAAGCACUGUGAAAGGAUCAAAACCAAAAGCCUGGGGCGUUGGAAGAUAAACUUUUUCCUUUCCAAACUGCUCUAGAAAAUAUUAGUUUCCAGAACAGUUUCGAUAGUUUAAUAAAUUUUUUUUUUUUUCCUCCUCUUUUUUAAAAUUGGAACUUGUGCUCUUAAAAGGGAACGUUCAUGAAUUAGGUCGGGAUUAUAUAGUUCAAGGGAUGCGAUCGGUCCGUGUAUUACACUUCAAUGCCAAAUAGAAAAAUUCUGUAGUUUGUUUUUUUUCCUUGCGUCUAUUAAUUUUAAACGGGGAAAAAUCCAAAUUAAAUCUAUUAGAAAUAAAUCAUAAAAAUUCCUCUUUCGUUCCAGCCGAUUAAGAAGUUAAAAACAAAAAACAAAAUCCAUAAAAUUUAUGGUUAAGAAUUUUGUACGCGUUUCAAAUGC